rnacentral:rRNA from 1 species
GAUGAACGCUAGCGGGAGGCCUAACACAUGCAAGCCGAGCGGUAUUGUUUCUUCGGAAAUGAGAGAGCGGCGUACGGGUGCGGAACACGUGUGCAACCUGCCUUUAUCUGGGGGAUAGCCUUUCGAAAGGAAGAUUAAUACUCCAUAACAUAUUGAUUGGCAUCAAUUAAUAUUGAAAGCUCCGGCGGAUAGAGAUGGGCACGCGCAAGAUUAGCUAGUUGGUGAGGUAACGGCUCACCAAGGCGAUGAUCUUUAGGGGGCCUGAGAGGGUGAUCCCCCACACUGGUACUGAGACACGGACCAUACUCCUACGGGAGGCAGCAGUGAGGAAUAUUGGUCAAUGGGUGCAAGCCUGAACCAGCCAUCCCGCGUGAAGGACGACUGCCCUAUGGGUUGUAAACUUCUUUUGUAUAGGGAUAAACCUACCCUCGUGAGGGUAGCUGAAGGUACUAUACGAAUAAGCACCGGCUAACUCCGUGCCAGCAGCCGCGGUAAUACGGAGGGCGCCAGCGUUACCCGGAUUUAUUGGGUUUAAAGGGUCCGUAGGCGGACUUAUAAGUCAGUGGUGAAAGCCUGUCGCUUAACGAUAGAACUGUCAUUGAUACUGUAAGUCUUGACCAUCCUUGAGGUAGCUGGAAUAAGUAGUGUAGCGGUGAAAUGCAUAGAUAUUACUUAGAACACCAAUUGCGAAGGCAGGUUACCAAGAUAUAACUGACGCUGAGGGACGAAAGCGUGGGGAGCGAACAGGAUUAGAUACCCUGGUAGUCCACGCCGUAAACGAUGCUAACUCGUUUUUGGGCUUUAGGGUUCAGAGACCAAGCGAAAGUGAUAAGUUAGCCACCUGGGGAGUACGCUCGCAAGAGUGGAACUCAAAGGAAUUGACGGGGGCCCGCACAAGCGGUGGAUUAUGUGGUUUAAUUCGAUGAUACGCGAGGAACCUUACCAAGACUUAAAUGGGAAUUGACAGCUUUAGAAAUAGAACUUUCUUCGGACAAUUUUCAAGGUGCUGCAUGGUUGUCGUCAGCUCGUGCCGUGAGGUGUUAGGUUAAGUCCUGCAACGAGCGCAACCCCUGUCACCAGUUGCCAUCAUUCAGUUGGGGACUCUAGUGAGACUGCCUACGCAAGUAGAGAGGAAGGUGGGGAUGACGUCAAAUCAUCACGGCCCUUACGUCUUGGGCCACACACGUAAUACAAUGGCCGGUACAGAGGGCAGCUACACAGCGAUGUGAUGCAAAUCUCGAAAGCCGGUCUCAGUUCGGAUUGGAGUCUGCAACUCGACUCUAUGAAGCUGGAAUCGCUAGUAAUCGCGCAUCAGCCAUGGCGCGGUGAAUACGUUCCCGGGCCU